UACGUAGGGUGCGAGCGUUAAUCGGAAUUACUGGGCGUAAAGCGUGCGCAGGCGGCUAUGCAAGACAGAUGUGAAAUCCCCGGGCUCAACCUGGGAACUGCAUUUGUGACUGCAUAGCUAGAGUACGGUAGAGGGGGGGAUGGAAUUCCGCGUGUAGCAGUGAAAUGCGUAGAUAUGCGGAGGAACACCGAUGGCGAAGGCAAUCCCCUGGACCUGUACUGACGCUCAUGCACGAAAAGCGUGGGGGA
rnacentral:rRNA from 1 species